rnacentral:rRNA from 1 species
UCUUCCACAAUGGGCGAAAGCCUGAUGGAGCAACGCCGCGUGAGUGAAGAAGUAUUUCGGGAUGUAAAGCUCUAUCAGCAGGGAAGAUAAUGACGGUACCUGACUAAGAAGCCCCGGCUAACUACGUGCCAGCAGCCGCGGUAAUACGUAGGGGGCAAGCGUUAUCCGGAUUUACUGGGUGUAAAGGGAGCGUAGGUGGCAGGGCAAGUCAGAUGUGAAAACCCGGGGCUCAACCCCGGGAGUGCAUUUGAAACUGUCCAGCGGGAGUGCAGGAGAGGUAAGCGGAAUUCCUAGUGUAGCGGUGAAAUGCGUAGAUAUUAGGAGGAACACCAGUGGCGAAGGCGGCUUACUGGACUGUAACUGACGCUGAGGUUCGAAAGCGUGUGUAGCAAACAGG